rnacentral:sRNA from 1 species
AACAUAUGCUAAGUUUAAUUCACCAAUAACACAUAUAACAAAAAGUUGUUAAAAAAAUUGGGAGAUUUGCAAAACUACCAUUUUUUUACUACCUUUUUGCAACAAUACUUUUUUAUGUUGUCCAUUUUUAAAAAUACCCUUUCCCUUGAACAAAAUGACCAAAUUACCCUCAUCUAAUAGAAACAUGUAAUUGGAAACUGAACUUUUCCCACCAAUUUUUUGGCGCCAAAAUUUUUUUUUCCCGCCAAAAAAAAAGUUUCCGCCAAACUUUUUUCCCGCAAAAAAAAAA